rnacentral:rRNA from 1 species
CCUACGGGUGGCAGCAGUGGGGAAUAUUGCACAAUAGGCGCAAGCCUGAUGCAGCCAUGCCGCGUGUGUGAAGAAGGCCUUCGGGUUGUAAAGCACUUUCAGCGGGGAGGAAGGCGUUAAGGUUAAUAACCUUGUCGAUUGACGUUACCCGCAGAAGAAGCACCGGCUAACUCCGUGCCAGCAGCCGCGGUAAUACGGAGGGUGCAAGCGUUAAUCGGAAUUACUGGGCGUAAAGCGCACGCAGGCGGUCUGUCAAGUCGGAUGUGAAAUCCCCGGGCUCAACCUGGGAACUGCAUUCGAAACUGGCAGGCUAGAGUCUUGUAGAGGGGGGUAGAAUUCCAGGUGUAGCGGUGAAAUGCGUAGAGAUCUGGAGGAAUACCGGUGGCGAAGGCGGCCCCCUGGACAAAGACUGACGCUCAGGUGCGAAAGCGUGGGGAGCAAACAGGAUUAGAUACCCGUGUAGUC